GGGUAGGGGAGCGUUCUGUAAGCCUGUGAAGGUGUGUCGUGAGGCAUGCUGGAGGUAUCAGAAGUGCGAAUGCUGACAUAAGUAACGAUAAAGCGGGUGAAAAGCCCGCUCGCCGGAAGACCAAGGGUUCCUGUCCAACGUUAAUCGGGGCAGGGUGAGUCGACCCCUAAGGCGAGGCCGAAAGGCGUAGUCGAUGGGAAACGGGUUAAUAUUCCCGUACUUGGUGUUACUGCGAAGGGGGGACGGAGAAGGCUAUGUUGGCCGGGCGACGGUUGUCCCGGUUUAAGCGUGUAGGUGUGUGUUCCAGGUAAAUCCGGUUCACUUUAACACUGAGGCGUGACGACGAGGCACUACGGUGCUGAAGCAACAAAUGCCCUGCUUCCAGGAAAAGCCUCUAAGCAUCAGGUAACAUCAAAUCGUACCCCAAACCGACACAGGUGGUCAGGUAGAGAAUACCAAGGCGCUUGAGAGAACUCGGGUGAAGGAACUAGGCAAAAUGGUGCCGUAACUUCGGGAGAAGGCACGCUGACACGUAGGUGAAGUGAUUUACUCAUGGAGCUGAAGUCAGUCGAAGAUACCAGCUGGCUGCAACUGUUUAUUAAAAACACAGCACUGUGCAAACACGAAAGUGGACGUAUACGGUGUGACGCCUGCCCGGUGCCGGAAGGUUAAUUGAUGGGGUCAGCGCAAGCGAAGCUCCUGAUCGAAGCCCCGGUAAACGGCGGCCGUAACUAUAACGGUCCUAAGGUAGCGAAAUUCCUUGUCGGGUAAGUUCCGACCUGCACGAAUGGCGUAAUGAUGGCCAGGCUGUCUCCACCCGAGACUCAGUGAAAUUGAACUCGCUGUGAAGAUGCAGUGUACCCGCGGCAAGACGGAAAGACCCCGUGAACCUUUACUAUAGCUUGACACUGAACAUUGAGCCUUGAUGUGUAGGAUAGGUGGGAGGCUUUGAAGUGUGGACGCCAGUCUGCAUGGAGCCGACCUUGAAAUACCACCCUUUAAUGUUUGAUGUUCUAACGUGGACCCGUAAUCCGGGUUGCGGACAGUGUCUGGUGGGUAGUUUGACUGGGGCGGUCUCCUCCUAAAGAGUAACGGAGGAGCACGAAGGUUGGCUAAUCCUGGUCGGACAUCAGGAGGUUAGUGCAAUGGCAUAAGCCAGCUUGACUGCGAGCGUGACGGCGCGAGCAGGUGCGAAAG
rnacentral:rRNA from 1 species